rnacentral:rRNA from 1 species
GACGAACGCUGGCGGCGUGCUUAACACAUGCAAGUCGAACGAUGAACCUUCCAUGAUCUAUUCGUAGAGAUUGGGAGCGGAUUAGUGGCGAACGGGUGAGUAACGCGUGAGCAACCUGCCUUAAACAACGGGAUAGCCUCGGGAAACCGGGAUUAAUACCGUAUGAGACCCCGCCUUCCCAUGAAGAAGAGGUUAAAGAUUUAUCGGUUUAAGAUGGGCUCGCGUCUGAUUAGCUAGUUGGUGAGAUAAAAGCCCACCAAGGCAACGAUCAGUAACCGGCUUGAGAGAGUGAACGGUCACAUUGGAACUGAGACACGGUCCAAACUCCUACGGGAGGCAGCAGUGGGGAAUAUUGCACAAUGGGGGAAACCCUGAUGCAGCGACGCCGCGUGAGCGAUGAAGGAAUUCGUUUCGUAAAGCUCUGUCCUAGGGGAAGAUAAUGACAGUACCCUUGGAGGAAGCCCCGGCUAAAUACGUG